AUGCUGGAUGUUUUGUUCUGGAGGAUACCGUGGAAACAGUAUUGAAAGCUUUGCUGAAAUCCUAAAAGAUUACAUUAGCUGGCUUUCCUUGGUCAACCCUUUGGUCUGUAGAGUGUGAACUGUCAGUUAUUGUGAACCGAUAAACGAUGAAUGAAGUGACAAUAAAGGACUGAGCCAACAGACCACCAGGUUCUUUCCCACUGGGGGUUUUCUCCAAUGGUGUGUAGAACAGAAGUAAGCAAUCAAUUCAAGAAACAGAGACAGAGUUGUCCAUAGCAAUGCUAAGAGCUGCAGCCUUAUGAGCCAAGAUCAGAGUGGGGAAGAGGACUUAAGAGAUGCUGCCUCCUGGUCUCCUCUGUCUGCAGCACUUCCAGCUGACACUGUCCCAGUAGCCCAGAUCUGAUGGGGUGACCCCCCCAUCAGAUAAUAAUAGAAGAAUAGAAGAAUAGAAUAAUAAAAGACUUUUCUUUGUCUAUGCUGAACAGCCUGACUUUGGCUAAUCCGAUUCUUCUUUGGCUUGGGAAGCACAUUUUUUUCUUUGUUGUUGCUCCUGGUUCCUAAGCACAAGAUCUGGAAGCUGAUUGUCUAUCUGCCUGCAAGCUGCACUCCUGCCCUGAUAUUCAAGCUGCUGGUUUGGAAACACUUCAAAAGACUUCCAUUCUUCAGAGCUGCUGUCUGCACUGCUGUUACAGGCAGUUUUUAAUGUUUUCUGAUUACAGUAUGGCAUUUAUUAUUAUGCCUUUUAAGACAGCACAACUUUAUUUAUACAUCUUUUUAUUGAAAUAUAUGAAUGAGUCUCCUUUGAGAUACCUGCUCUGUCAAUCCCAGUGCAGGAUUUGAGUAACGUAAUGCCACAGAACAGAAAAUCAGAGGAAGGCAUCUGGGCAGGUUCACCAGUUUGUUUUUAAUGAAACGUUUUAUCCCUUAUUGCUUCUUGAGACAAACGCAGAGUUCUGAACUGGGCAUGCUGUCAAAUCCUCAGGUCUGGCAUAUGGCUCAUAGAGACAUCUUUCUUCUGCUCUUAAACUUUCCCUCCUGUUCCCGUCUUUUAUUUUUCUCUCUUGCUCUUAUGCGCUAUUUAUCUCCUUUCUGUCUUCCCACCCCAGAUUCACUCAUCUCAUUAUCUCUUCUGAUGUCAGAAAAGAUGCUGUUGGUUUACCAUAUGCUGUUAAGAGGUGCUGGUAUCACAAACACAAGUUGCCUUGGAUUGCUGUAAGCCCAUUGACACAUCCAUCAACUUGCUGCUGUUCUCAGUGAAAGCCCAUUCUACCUUCUCUUUUCUGACUUGUUGUUUCCUGUAGGGUGUUUUGUAUGUUUGAAUUUGUUCUGUGCUAAAGGUAGAUAAUAUUCUGGGGUUACUAGCUGACAACUGACUUGAAGUGUAAAUUAUAAUGCUGGUGUUAACUCCAAGCUUAAAAUAUAUAUGCAAGGAGAGUUCAUAGCUGCACUGUGUGAUGCUCUUCUUUCCUGGGAUACUGUAUGUGUGAAGAGUUUGCACAGCUUCAAAAAUACAUGGAAGGGAAAUAAAUUUCACUUAACAAAAAAAACCAAAAAAAAC